rnacentral:rRNA from 1 species
UACGUAGGGUGCGAGCGUUGUCCGGAAUUAUUGGGCGUAAAGAGCUCGUAGGCGGUGUGUCACGUCGGCCGUGAAAACCUGCAGCUUAACUGUGGGCGUGCGGUCGAUACGGGCAUCACUGGAGUUCGGCAGGGGAGACUGGAAUUCCUGGUGUAGCGGUGAAAUGCGCAGAUAUCAGGAGGAACACCGGUGGCGAAGGCGGCAUCCUGGACCAAUUCUGACGCUGAGGAGCGAAAGCCAGGGGAGCAAACGGG